AAGAUAAAAAUUCCAUGCAAUAUGAAUGACUUGUUGAUCCUUUUAGGCUUGUUUUACUUUGUAUUUUGAAUUGACCGGAAAUUAAAGCAUGACGAUCUUCUAGAACAUACUUUGCGUUGUCUUUUGUUUGUAGCUCGGCAACGGCAGUCCUCUCUCGAUUCCAACCAUUUCCGUUUCUGUUGCGUUGCCGGGUGCUCCUGCCCUCCUUUGACGUCCCGUACCCGUCAGCAAUUUCAUCCACCCAAUCUCAUCCAUAAUGUCUGACAAGAACAAGAAAGAUAGUCCAUACAAGAAGUUUGCUCAUAAGAAUGCCACCCACACGGGAUUUUGUUCAAUGAGGCAAUUAGAACUAAACAAGGCAUAUCAAAUGUACGACUUGAUUCACACCACGAAGUAUGGUUCGGGCGAGUUGGCUCAUCUAAGGACGAGCAAGAAUGUCUGCUGGAAGGUCCAGUUGCCAACCAAAUAUUUGAAAGAGCUGGACCCUGAAGAUAUCGAACACUUCAAGGCAGACAUCAAGAAGAAAGCUUAUCCCUUUGUUGCUUUUCGCGAAGUAAUGAAUGAUGGCAGUUUUAGAAUGGAUAUGCUUGAAGACAGUCCUGACAUGAGAAUCAAAUAUAAAAAUUGGGAGGACAUCCCAGAAGUUGUUUUUGAAGAUAGCCUGAACAGCAGCAAUGAGGGACCUGCUAACAAGAGCAAGGAUGAAGAAAACGGCGAUGCAUCAUCCACUGACAAACCUCUAAAUCAAUCUGGUUCCUCUAAAGAUACUUCCAAUCAAUCUUAGGGUUGAAUGUUUCAACUUGAAUGUUGCUGCUGUCACGGGCCCGUGCCAAAACGCCGGUGCGCCGUAUGGGUAGGCAACCCACCAGCCACCUUUCCCGCCAGUGAGGGCGGUCAGACAGCAAGCGGCCAGCGAAGCGACAGGCAGACGGACCGCCGACACUCUCCGGUUGUGCUGCCUCGUCAGUCACCGCUGAGACGCCAGACAGGUCGGGUCGGACGCGCGCAGCCAAGUCGCGUUAACCCCGUGAAAACGUUGUAGAGUCGGGUCGAAUUUUCACCUACUCGUCCAUCAUGUGUCCUCCUGUCGCUCUCAAGUACUCGCUCAAUACAAGCCCGCAAGGGCUUUGAGUUACGGGGCUGUACUGUCCCUAGUCAUGGGCUAAAUCCCCUUUGCCUUGCCGCCACCGAUGCUACCUGCUUGCCGCUGAUCAUGAUGCUGGAGGCCAAGCCAUGCUUGGGCCCCCCACACCAUGGCCGUUUUGCCCACGGCCGCUCCGUCCCGACGCUUCACCCCCCUUCCCCUCCUCGUCAAGUCAACGUGGAAGAUCCAAAAUGGAGUGACUAGUGUUGUGGAGUAGUUUAGUGCUUUGCACUAUUUAAUGAGACUCAGUUGAGCCAUUUUUGUAAUUCAAUCUCGCCAUGUCUUGUGGGCAUGUUAUUUUGUGAAGUGUGGUGAAAUGUGAAGUGUGAGUGUUCCGCAGCCGGGGAGGCGCCCCUCGCGCUGCUCAAAGUGUGUGUCAUGGUAUUUCUACCUACCCGUGGUAUUUCUAUCUAUCCAUGGGAAAUGUACCUACCUCUGAAAAAGAUACCCCCCCCCCCGCACUUCAACUCUGUCUUCCCCCUG